GACGAACGCUGGCGGCGUGCUUAACACAUGCAAGUCGAGCGGUAAGGCCCUUUCGGGGGUACACGAGCGGCGAACGGGUGAGUAACACGUGGGUGACCUGCCCUCAGCUCUGGGAUAAGCCUGGGAAACUGGGUCUAAUACUGGAUAUGACUCCACGGUGCAUGUCGUGGGGUGGAAAGCCUUGUGCGGCUGAGGAUGGGCCCGCGGCCUAUCAGCUUGUUGGUGGGGUGANGGCCUACCAAGGCGACGACGGGUAGCCGGCCUGAGAGGGCGACCGGCCACACUGGGACUGAGACACGGCCCAGACUCCUACGGGAGGCGGCAGUGGGGAAUCUUGCGCAAUGGGCGAAAGCCUGACGCAGCGACGCCGCGUGAGGGAUGACGGCCUCGGUGUAACC
rnacentral:rRNA from 1 species